rnacentral:lncRNA from 1 species
GGAGUUGAACAAGAAGAAGAAGAAAAAAAGUUUGAGAAGAAGAAGAGGAAGACAGGGGUGGAGCCCUGUAUCUGGCAGCUCUCCGCCACAGUCGCUAACAUGUGGAUCAUAUAUGUGAUAGGUUUUGUCGACCUAAAAGUCUGCCGGCUCAGUCUUCAACUGUUUCUCAUAGGAAGUAGGGUGCGAUAUAUGGUGAGCAUGCGUACGUGUAAUUAAGCGAGGAUCGUGUUUGUACCGUAUUUCGUAUGGAAAAAACAUCAUAAAAAGGUACAUUAAACAAUUUGGGUAGGUCAGGAGCAGGAGGUAGAAUACCUGAUUUGCUCGGCGAUGGAGUACGUAGACGAACCACAACAGUCCGAGGUUGAAGAUGACCCAAAGAUUGAAUCGUGUUUGACGACCUGACCAGCAAGCAGCUUUUAGCCUGUCACUGCGCCAGCAAAUUGAAGUUAGCCGCGUUUCAACAAAAACACUGAUAACAUAAGCCUAGCUAGGCCAGCCUUGACGCUCGAUCGAUCAUCUUUCACGAGUCAACGG